GGAAUUUUCCGCAAUGGGCGAAAGCCUGACGGAGCAACGCCGCGUGUGGGAUGACGCUUUUCGGAGUGUAAACCACUGUUCGUGGGGACGAAGCACUGACGGUACCCACGGAGGAAGGCCCGGCUAACUACGUGCCAGCAGCCGCGGUAAUACGUAGGGGUCGAGCGUUGUCCGGAGUUACUGGGCGUAAAGCGCAUGCAGGCGGCUCAUUACGCACGGCGUGAAAGCCCCCGGCUCAACCGGGGAGGGU
rnacentral:rRNA from 1 species